GACGAACGCUGGCGGCGUGCUUAACACAUGCAAGUCGAACGGAAAGGCCCUGCUUUUGUGGGGUGCUCGAGUGGCGAACGGGUGAGUAACACGUGAGUAACCUGCCCUUGACUUUGGGAUAACUUCAGGAAACUGGGGCUAAUACCGGAUAGGAGCUCCUGCUGCAUGGUGGGGGUUGGAAAGUUUCGGCGGUUGGGGAUGGACUCGCGGCUUAUCAGCUUGUUGGUGGGGUAGUGGCUUACCAAGGCUUUGACGGGUAGCCGGCCUGAGAGGGUGACCGGCCACAUUGUGACUGAGAUACGGCCCAGACUCCUACGGGAGGCAGCAGUGGGGAAUAUUGCACAAUGGGCGGAAGCCUGAUGCAGCAACGCCGCGUGCGGGAUGACGGCCUUCGGGUUGUAAACCGCUUUCGCCUGUGACGAAGCGUGAAUGACGGUAAUGGGUAAAGAAGCACCGGCUAACUACGU
rnacentral:rRNA from 1 species